CCUACGGGAGGCAGCAGUGGGGAAUAUUGGGCAAUGGAGGAAACUCUGACCCAGCGACGCCGCGUGCGGGAUGAAGGCCUUCGGGUUGUAAACCGCUUUCAGCAGGGAAGAAGCGAAAGUGACGGUACCUGCAGAAGAAGCACCGGCUAACUAUGUGCCAGCAGCCGCGGUAAUACAUAGGGUGCAAGCGUUGUCCGGAAUUAUUGGGCGUAAAGAGCUCGUAGGUGGUUCGUCACGUCGGAUGUGAAAAUCUGGGGCUUAACCCCAGACCUGCAUUCGAUACGGGCGAGCUUGAGUAUGGUAGGGGAGUCUGGAAUUCCUGGUGUAGCGGUGGAAUGCGCAGAUAUCAGGAGGAACACCAAUGGCGAAGGCAGGACUCUGGGCCAUUACUGACACUGAGGAGCGAAAGCGUGGGGAGCGAACAGGAUUAGAUACCCUGGUAGUCCACGCCGUAAACGGUGGGCACUAGUUGUGGGGACCUUCCACGGUCUCUGCGACGCNGCUACGCAUAAGUGCCCGCCGUCGGGAGGUACGAGUCGCGACGAAUUAAACGUACGAAGGAAGUUAGUACGGCGUGAGACGUGCCGACGGACGACGACGAGGGAGGAGG
rnacentral:rRNA from 1 species